rnacentral:rRNA from 1 species
GACGAACGCUGGCGGCGUGCUUAACACAUGCAAGUCGAACGGUAAGGCCCUUCGGGGUACACGAGUGGCGAACGGGUGAGUAACACGUGGGUGAUCUGCCCUGCACUUCGGGAUAAGCCUGGGAAACUGGGUCUAAUACCGGAUAGGACCACUGCCUGCAUGGGUGGUGGUGGAAAGCUUUUGCGGUGUGGGAUGGGCCCGCGGCCUAUCAGCUUGUUGGUGGGGUGGUGGCCUACCAAGGCGGCGACGGGUAGCCGGCCGGCUGGGGUGACCGGCCACAGUGGGACUGAGAUACGGCCCAGACUCCUACGGGAGGCAGCAGUGGGGAAUAUUGCACAAUGGGCGCAAGCCUGAUGCAGCGACGCCGCGUGAGGGAUGACGGCCUUCGGGUUGUAAACCUCUUUCAGCACCGACGAAGCGCAAGUGACGGUAGGUGCAGAAGAAGGACCGGCCAACUACGUGCCAGCCGCCGCCGUAA